rnacentral:rRNA from 1 species
UACGUAGGGGGCAAGCGUUGUCCGGAAUCAUUGGGCGUAAAGCGCGUGUAGGCGGUUCGGUAAGUCGGCUGUGAAAGUCCAGGGCUCAACCCUGGGAUGCCGGUCGAUACUGCCUGACUAGAGUUCGGAAGAGGCGAGUGGAAUUCCCGGUGUAGCGGUGAAAUGCGCAGAUAUCGGGAGGAACACCAAUGGCGAAGGCAGCUCGCUGGGACGUUACUGACGCUGAGACGCGAAAGCGUGGGGAGCAAACAGG